UCAGGACGAAUUGCUGAGCAUCCCUGACGCACUCGGCUGUUCUCCACAAGCCCAGACAGCGGCUGUCAUCAGGAGAUGAUCCGGUCAACGGGAAGCUGGCGCAGGAGGCUGCCAUCCUGCAGGUGCACCUGGUGGCCGUCUGCUUCUUUUCCUCUUGAUUCUAGAACUGAGAGGAAGGACUCCCAGUGACAUGAUGCACGUCUGAGAAGAAAACUCUACCAGCUAAAAACUUCCAAAAUAUCAUCCUCAUUGCACAUUUUGGUUGUUUACUUAAUUCUGACUGUGAGGUUUUAAGUCCUCUCCAUGUAGUUGACCUAUUAUACUUUCUGCUAAAGCAAGUUUACAGAACAAAGAAGAUAUGUGAUUUUUCUUACCCUUUUUUACUCUUCUAGCAGACUGGGUUCCAGGACAAACUGUCUGAAAAAGUGAUGAUCAUUUACUUCAUAACUCGACAAAUACCUGGAAUCCCUGAUCUAACUGAAGAAUGACAGCAUUACAAAAAAUCUACAUGCUCCUCUCUGCUACGUUUCUCAACUGGAAAAGCAUAUCCUGUUCUGUUAGAGAUGGGACCUUGGUGGUUUUGUGGAAAGUGAAAUGAAAGGAACUAGAUAAAAUCUCCUGAGUCUCCAACUUGUGUUAUUUACUUGGAGGCAAAUAUAACCCACUUAUCUGACUGUCUGCUUGAUUUCAUUCUUUUGCUCCAGUCCAGAUGGACUGUCCGCCUCUCUUUACCUCGCCCUGGGCAUUACGAGGUGGACCCUCAUGGACCGCAUGGGUGGGUUUCCUUAUUCUCUGGUUGUUGUUUGGAAGCAGUCAGUGGAAGCAUCAGGAGGAGGCUGGGAGGUGGGAGCAGAGUGAGCUCAGGGUUCCCUUCCUGAAGGGGGUCUGCAUCCUCGCAGGGGCCAACACAUAAGGCCAUCUACACCAGAGACAGAGGGUUAUGCUCAGGAAAACACAGGUGCGAGUGGAAGUGGCCAUUCCCUUUUAUACCAAUUAACCCACGGGAAGCAUUUAUUUCUUCUCUCCCAGGACCCUGAAUCCAAAGGCUUGGACGUCCAUCUAAUGCCCGAAAAAAAUGCUUCUGUCAGGGGACAUGGUGAUGCUUCUUUGAACUUCAACUUCCAUUGACCAACAGUCAAUGCAUAUCAGAGCAAAGAUGCCCAUUAGCAUAAUCCCUGGGGACUGGGGCACAGAGCAGAGGGGGGAGAAACAUGGCCUGUUGAUCUUGGGGAGGAAACAGUUUUCACAGAAUCCAUGCUUUGUGCCCCACAACAUCUACCCUUGUCCUGUUACUGGGAGAGAAAUCUGUACCCCCAAAGUGGAGACACACAGAGUCCUACUUGAAAGUCUAUCUUCUUCUCAGUCUCCAGAUGAAGAACACGCGAGGGCAGUUUUCUAGCAACCUUCCAUGAAGGCUAGGAGAUCAUGUUUCAGGCAAUAAAAGUGCCCAAGAACGUUGCUGAAGGAAACCAGGGUUGUGUGCGACAGUGUGUGUGCUUCUGCUGGGACCAUCUCACUCCUGCCUCUGCGUCUGGACAAAAGUGACAUAAGGAAACCAAAGAAGUUACAGCACAGCAUUAAUGAGAAGACUGAGUAUUUGUGCCACUGUGUGUACUACUUGGUGUCUGUCCUCCACAGGGGAAAAGACACACUCAGCCCAAGUACCUACUCCGAUUCUCCAAGAAUGGACCUGGUCUCUAAGUAGGCCGAUGGAGUCAGUGGGGAUCCAAAGAGAAAACCGGAUUUUGUUUUGUAACAGAGGCAAAAGUUGUUGUUCAAGAAGAGGGGACAAAAAUGAUCAUGACACAGCCCGUUUCAGGCCUUUCUAACCAUCGGAUGUCACAUGUUCUGUCUACGUGCUCAGUAAUAUGCAAGAUUUUUAAUAUUAAGUAACAUGUGAAUUGUUUUCAAAAAUAUGUCUUAAAAUAAAAUUCAAAAGCAA